rnacentral:rRNA from 1 species
GACGAACCGUGCAAACGUUGUUCGGAAUCACUGGGCUUAAAGGGCGCGUAGGCGGUCGGCCAAGUCCGGGGUGAAAUCUUUCGGCUUAACCGGAAAAGUGCCUUGGAUACUGGUCGGCUGGAGGGAGGUAGGGGCAGGUGGAACUUCCAGUGGAGCGGUGAAAUGCGUUGAUAUUGGAAGGAACGCCGGUGGCGAAAGCGACCUGCUGGACCUCUUCUGACGCUGAGGCGCGAAAGCUAGGGGAGCAAACGGG